AGAUUGAGAACCCUGAGAGAG
rnacentral:miRNA from 1 species